rnacentral:snRNA from 1 species
GUGCGUCGUUCAGCAGCACAUGUAGUAAAUUUGAGUCCAUCGCAGAAGAUUAGCGCGGCCCCUGCACAAUAAUGACUCAAACUACGUGGAGCAGUUCAUAUUUUCA